GACGAACGCUGGCGGCGUGCUUAACACAUGCAAGUCGAACGGUAAGGCCCUUCGGGGUACACGAGUGGCGAACGGGGGAGUAACACGUGGGUGAUCUGCCCUGCACUUCGGGAUAAGCCUGGGAAACUGGGUCUAAUACCGGAUAGGACCCUGGGAUGCAUGUCCUGGGGGGGAAAGCUUUUGCGGGGUGGGAUGGGCCCGCGGCCUAUCAGCUUGUUGGUGGGGUGAUGGCCUACCAAGGCGACGACGGGUAGCCGGCCUGAGAGGGUGACCGGCCACACUGGGACUGAGAUACGGCCCAGACUCCUACGGGAGGCAGCAGUGGGGAAUAUUGCACAAUGGGCGCAAGCCUGAUGCAGCGACGCCGCGUGAGGGAUGACGGCCUUCGGGUUGUAAACCUCUUUCAGCACCGACGAAGCGCAAGUGACGGUAGGUGCAGAAGAAGGACCGGCCAACUACGUGCCAGCAGCCGCGGUAA
rnacentral:rRNA from 1 species